rnacentral:rRNA from 1 species
UACAGAGGCCUCAAGCGUUAUCCGGAAUCAUUGGGCGUAAAGGGUGCGUAGGCGGCUAUAUUAGUCUCCUGUUAAAGGCUUCGGCUCAACCGAAGUUUUGCGGGGGAAACGGUAUGGCUAGAGAUUGCGAGAGGUGUGUGGAACUCAUGGAGUAGGGGUGAAAUCCGUUGAUAUCAUGGGGAACACCAAAAGCGAAGGCAGCACACUGGCACAUUUCUGACGCUGAGGUGCGAAAGCGUGGGGAGCAAACAGG